UAAAAGACUAUGAUUAGGAAAAGUACCUUAGAUAUUAUUUUUAGAGAGUAGCUGUUUGGUGUAAAGCUAUAAUAAAUCUUAGAGAAAAUCACCUAGGAGUUGGAGACUGAAAGGCACUAAUUGCCAAAUAAGUUGUCACGUAACAGCCUGCGUUAAAGGAUAGAGUAUGUAUGUACUUGAAAUAAAGCAUUUAAUACUAUAUUUAAAUGUUUUGCCUUAGGUGGUUUGCGAAUUCAACUUCGUCCUGUAG
rnacentral:ncRNA from 1 species